CAAAUGAGUCCUAUGGCUGCAGUUGAAGGACUCCAUCUGCUGGAUGAUGACGCAGGCACAUCAAGAUGUAGGAAGACACUUGUAACAACUGUCAGCUUCAUUUGAGUGCUGCGGCUGUUGGUAGUAGCCAGACAGGGCCAGGACUAACACCAGACCAGAUGACUUUGAGGACUGCGUUGUGGCCCGAAAACAAACGUCCCUUCUAGCGCAGGGAUGCAGCUCUGGUCCGCAGGGAAAGGCCCCAGAAGAAUGACAAGUAUGUAUUGUCUCUG